rnacentral:sRNA from 1 species
GUAUACAUGAAGCCAUAUUGUUCCACUUAUAUGCAAUACAAACAGACGUCAACUCAACCUUGUGUCAGAAAACGUAAUGAGUACUUUAUAGACGUACACGGCGCGAUUAUGAGAGGUACACAGUAGUUUGUUUAAUUUA